AGACGCCCUCACCGAAACCAACACUACGUUGCUGUGUUGUUUUCUUCUAAGGUCGGGCACAGUAAAGGAGACGACUCUGUAUCAAGGCACUACCCAGAGGGAGGAUGUUGGCCUUCUCCUGAUGGGAAAAUGUCUUCUUUCUCAUGGCGUGGCCAGGACUGCACUGACCCUACCAUCCACUCUACCUCUCCGGAAAGGGACUUGACAACCAGUCAAGAUGGAUGUGCAGAGAUAUACCAGCGCUUCUAGCAUUAACUGCCAGUUUGCACUGACGCAGCAAGACUCCCCAACAGUCAAAAAGAAUAAUAUAGACGUGCAGAAAAUGUAGGAGAGCGAUGACAUCAGAAGGACACUCUCAGGUUCAGGGUACAGUGGUCCCUCUAUAAUCCGGCACCAUUUGUGCCACGAAAAUCUGCUGGAUUAGGGAGGGUGCUGGAUUAACAAAUCUGAUCUACUGCUGCAAUGUGCAUGAAGAGGACAUUUGGCUACUGAAAAUUGUGCCGGUUUAUCGAGGGUGCUGGAUUAUAAAGUGCCGGAUUAGAGAGGGACGACUGUACCUGUACUGCCCCAAUAAAGUGGGUCAGAUCCCAAAACGAGAUUGGCCGAAGCAAAAAAAAUAGAAGAGCCUGCCUUGAAUCGAAUAUGAGGAAGAAGAAGAAGAAGACAAAGAAAGAGAAAGAGUAGGAAUUUGUUUGUGUAAACUUUGUUUCCUCUGUCUAGGCCAUCGCAUUAUAGCAGCCAACAGUGUGUGUGUGUGUGUGUGUGUGUGUGUGUGUGUGUGUGUGUGUGUGUGUGUGCGCGCGUAUGUGUGUGUGU